CUCCAUACAUUGAUCAACAUAGCGACACUACUCAUUUGUUUGUGCUUGAAUUGUCUGGCUAUUAUCCACAAGGAGCUAUUGUCAAUUGUAGUUAAGGAUAUCUACGAAGUGCCCCUCAAGGUAAGAUAACUAUUAACUAAACCCCUUUUGGUUGUGAUUUAUCAAUCAAAAUACAUCUUUGUCACAUGGUUAUAUGGUCUUAGGAUCAUAACAAGUUUUUAAAGACCAUUUCCACUACAGCCCGGUAUUGUUUUGAAUCCCAACAAUUCCUAUUGUAAAUAUAACGUAGUUUGAGUGGAAGGAAGUUGAACACUUAAACUGGAAACUAACAUCUUAAAAGGCCAGAAAGUCCUUUAGUAAAGAUAUUUAUCUAUUGGUAUUUCGUUGAAACAUAAAGAACCCUAAGAGUCCUUACUUGAAUCUUUUAUUGUAUGAAUUUGAGAAGUAAAACAAGACAUCUACAUCCCUUUUGAUUUGAUGUAAAACAAGUAAGCACAAUGAGAUACAUGUCUUUCAAACCUCAUCGGAAUCUCUUAUUGAAUACUCUUAAGUGGACUGUUUUCACAAAUUAAUGAAUUAAUAAAGUAUUAUUUGUUGGAUUAUAGACUAAGUUUCCUAAUAAUUAAGAUCUUCAAGGGGCCUCACGAACAUGAAUUAGAAGAUGUAUGGAAGGCCUUUAAUGUUUGAUCGAUUGGUUGCAUGAUCGCAUCCAAUACUUCCAUCUAACAAUCCAAGGUCUAAUCGAACAAACAAUUUUCUUUUACACAUCAAUCAUAAUUAAUAAAAAUUAUCCAAUUCUUUUACAUACAAGUAUAUUAAUCAAUGAAUAUCUUUCUAAAAAACCCAGAAAAUAAUGAAUCAAAACUUGUUUAGAUCCUCAAGAAAAAAGGAUCAAAUCUUAAUGUAACACUAGACUCUCGAAGCAGUGAAGUCCAUCCAACUCCGGCGCCCACCGACCACCGGAAUAUUCCCUCUUGCUCCGGUGACAAUCGGUGUUCUUGUUGGUUUCAUGCGUCACCUUCUUUUGAUCAUCUUGAAUGGUGGAAGCAGGAUUCUUUGUGUUAAAGAAAGAAAAAGAUUGGCACAUGAAUUCGGCAGAUAAAGCAUCGAAGGAACUGAAGAUGGAAUUCAUGUUUGAUGAUAUAUAAUGAACUGAUUGAUUCAAUUUGUUUACGUUUGAAAAGAUGAGAGAAGAUGAAUGAAGAUUGAAUUGUGUGAGCGGUUUAUAAACCAGAAGAAAGACGUUGAAUCCUUGCAAGUUCCGAUAUGCUUUUCGUUUUCAAGUUUCAACGCGUUGAAUUAUUAAAUGACGAAAUGUGUCGGCGUUGAAGAUAUUCUAAAAUAAAACCAACGUUUUUUAUAACAUAAAUAUAAACUUCAAACUCAAUUAGAGAGAAUUUAUUGCAAGUUGUCGUCAAUGGAUGUCUGAUUUUUCACACGACACUGCCGAUGAACGCCGCGGGACCGGCGCAGUCAAAGACGGCGGCGUUCACACGUCUCUUUUUUUUUUUUAACGGAGUUACACGAAUGGUCCCUAUGGUUUGAG
rnacentral:lncRNA from 1 species